AUUGAACGCUGGCGGCAUGCCUUACACAUGCAAGUCGAACGGUAACAGGUCUUCGGAUGCUGACGAGUGGCGAACGGGUGAGUAAUACAUCGGAACGUGCCUAGUAGUGGGGGAUAACUACUCGAAAGAGUGGCUAAUACCGCAUGAGAUUUACGGAUGAAAGCAGGGGAUCGCAAGACCUUGUGCUACUAGAGCGGCCGAUGGCAGAGUAGGUAGUUGGUGGGAUAAAAGCUUACCAAGCCGACGAUCUGUAGCUGGUCUGAGAGGACGAUCAGCCACACUGGGACUGAGACACGGCCCAGACGCCUACGGGAGGCAGCAGUGGGGAAUUUUGGACAAUGGGCGCAAGCCUGAUCCAGCAAUGCCGCGUGCAGGAUGAAGGCCUUCGGGUUGUAAACUGCUUUUGUACGGAACGAAAAGCCCUGGGUUAAUACCCUGGGGUCAUGACGGUACCGUAAGAAUAAGCACCGGCUAACUACGUGCCAGCCGCCGCAGUAAAAC
rnacentral:rRNA from 1 species